rnacentral:rRNA from 1 species
CCCGACGACAAUAGUGCAGUUGUCCCACCUGAUUCCAUACCGAACUCAGAAGUGAAAAGCUGUAACGUCGAUGGUAGUGUGGGG